AAGGGAAGAGUGAACGCCAAACGUUUCAUGAUUUUAUUGAAUUUUUUGAACCGUUUGAUUUCAAUUAAAUCAGUACUAUAUUAAUGAGGUUUCAAAACCGAAGAGACACGUCUCUUCGGAUCUCCAAAUGGUAGCUGAAAGAGGGAAGAUCAAGCGGCCUUCAAUGUGUUCGGAAGAAGAAGAAGUAACGCGGUCCACGGGAGAAGUUUUUGCAGGAAAAAAUUGGUCCACUGGACCGAGGAAGAAACCAGAACCAACAAAAACCGUGUCAUCCAAUUAGAGGGGCAAACAAGUAAAUUUCCAAAUCAAAUUUGACUUUUCUUAAAUGGGUUAAUUCAAAUGGGCUGAAUCAAAUGGGCUUGGGUCCAUUAUUGGUUCUAAACCAAAUUGAAGACCAAUUUGAAAGAUUUUGGAUCCGAAAAAAUUCCACAUGAAUUUGAUUCAUGUGAACUCCAAUUAGUUCAAUUUUCAUAUCAAUCCAAGUCACACUUGGACUAGAAUAAAUAUGGAAUAAAUUCUAAUAAAAUCAUCAUUAAGCCCAAUUACAUUCAUUUGAAUCCAAUUCAAAACCAAACUCAACAAAU
rnacentral:lncRNA from 1 species